rnacentral:rRNA from 1 species
GAUGAACGCUGGCGGCGUGCCUAAUACAUGCAAGUCGAGCGAACAGACGAGGAGCUUGCUCCUCUGACGUUAGCGGCGGACGGGUGAGUAACACGUGGAUAACCUACCUAUAAGACUGGGAUAACUUCGGGAAACCGGAGCUAAUACCGUAUAACAUGUUGAACCGCAUGGUUCAACAGUGAAAGACGGUCUUGCUGUCACUUAUAGAUGGAUCCGCGCCGCAUUAGCUAGUUGAUAAGGUAACGGCUUACCAAGGCAACGAUGCGUAGCCGACCUGAGAGGGUGAUCGGCCACACUGGAACUGAGACACGGUCCAGACUCCUACGGGAGGCAGCAGUAGGGAAUCUUCCGCAAUGGGCGAAAGCCUGACGGAGCAACGCCGCGUGAGUGAAGAAGGUCUUCGGAUCGUAAAACUCUGUUAUUAGGGAAGAACAAAUGUGUAAGUAACUAUGCACGUCUUGACGGUACCUAAUCAGAAAGCCACGGCUAACUACGUG